rnacentral:rRNA from 1 species
AAACCUUAAUAAUUUGGCGGUGUUUAUUUUAUAGAUGGGCAUGUAAUUUAAUCGAAAAUACACGAAUUAUCUCACUUAUAUUGUCUUGUAUACCUCCGUAUAGAUUUUAUUUAAUUAUAACUUUAAUUUUCUUGAUAAUAAUUUUGAAAUUCAGGUCAAGGUGCAGUUUAUAUAAGUUAUUAUGUGGCACAUUAAUUAAUAAAUAGUGGAUUUAAUUUGAAAAGAUUAAUAAAAAUGAAUUUAUAAGUAAAAUAAAAUAAUAUAUUUAUCUGAAAUUUUAUUAAACAUGUACACAU